UCUCUCAAGAGAUAAAUCUAAGACUGCUUCUCUCACAUGGUUUUGGUUUUAGAAAGUAAACGCCUUUCUCAUGAGACCCUCCUCCUUCAUCUUCAUCUUCAUCUUCUACCAUUUUCGUCCACUUGGAGAUCUCCUUAUGGAUUAUAGAAACACCUUCUCUUUUGAGCAUCAAUUACAAAAAUCGGAAAAAAAAACUUCACACAUGAAAGAAGCAAGCAUCAUCUCAAUUUAUUCUUCAUUUUCAAUGAUCCUCUCAUUACUAUUUGAAAAAGGAACUGGAAGGACUUAGAUGACGAAUUAGUGGAAUCCAGUACACCUGGUGAUGAAGCGUCUACAAUAAUUGAUAUACAUUGAAAUAACAGGAAGUGAACCAGAAUUACGUACCAUCAACGUGAGGGUCUUUUGAAGUACGGGCACAGUAAGUUUUUCAGGAGUUGUUGAGUGAGGUUUUGCUUGUGGAGGCACUGCUUCGGUGCCCGGACGUACAAUAUAAGGAUUGGAGUACAUAGAAUGACCUCUGAGGAAGCUUGGUUCCGAUUCAUAACCGUUUACCGCCAAUUCCCAACCAACCCUAUUCGGCACUAGUUGUUGUUCUUCCCUUUCAUUCCAAUGUACAGGUAGAGGAGUUGGUUUGUAAACCACCAGCGUAAGCUAUUCAUCCGAUAGACAUUGUGGAAAGUCAUGAGAGAAUUUGGCAUCAGAUUUACCCGUAAGUUUUUUCUGUUUGUACCCAAGUUGGCGCAUCACACUGCGAGGGUUAUGCAUAACAAAUCCUUUUGGAGGAAACAACGGUCCGUUAUAAAAUGCUACAUUGUCAAGCCUUUCGAAGUGAACUCCUCUUUGGUUCCUAUAUGGGUCAAAAACAACAUCUUCGACAGCGAUAGAGUCCAAAUCCUCUCUCAUGACGAGUAACCGAGCUCUGUUAUUGGGCUUCGGUUUAAUGUCGAAAAAGUAUUUCUUAGAUAUAGGACGUCGUGGAUCCAUAACAUACGUGAACAUAACGAUACUGUCGGUAUAAUUUCCGGCAUUGUAAUUUAAAAGGGGUCUAUGCCGGUUUUACCUAACAACAUUGUAUGUAAAUAACAUGCUAUGCCGGUUUUACCUAACAGCAUUGUAUGUAAAUAACAUGCUAUGCCAGUUAUAUAGGAAUUGUCAACAGAUAUUGAACAAAAUAAGGUAAUAAAAACCGGCAUGGAUAGUGAACAUUACGACACUUCCGACAUGUACUCCGGCGUUAAAAUAUAUAGAAUUUCUAUGCCGGUUUCCGAAUAACUUCAUGCAAUAAAUGGGGGAUACAGAACAUAUAAACCGGCAUUAUAAUCAACUUUAAUUGUAGGCCGAAACUAAGUUGGACUUUUCAUGUAACAUCCGCGGAAAGUUAAUCGAGUUGUGGGCUUGAGAUCAACCUACUCGUUGUAUACUGAGAUUUUGCAAUGUGGGCGCAGGAAUCUUUGUAUUAUCGUACCUUGCAUUUGGAAUGCGAGCUGAGUGCCUUGAGUCUCGUGUAGGGUUUUAUUAACUGAUUUAGUCAUCCCUUAUAGCAAUGGAAGAGUCUCAUUAGUAUUAUCAUACAGUUGACUAAGACUAGAGUUGACCUAUUUGACACCUAGAUGUAUAAGUGUCACAAAAAGAAGUGAUAAGGGCAUUUUUAUCAUUUAAAUUCCUGUACAAUACUAAAAUGAAAAUAAUUUCUUUUUCUCCUUGUUAUUGUCGUCUUCUUCUGUUUAUUUACUUCUCAUUUC